rnacentral:rRNA from 1 species
UACGGAGGAGGCAAGCGUUAUCCGGAAUUAUUGGGCGUAAAGCGUCCGCAGGUGGCACUUCAAGUCUGUCGUCAAAGACUGGGGCUUAACCCUGGAAAGGCGGUGGAAACUGAAGCGCUAGAGUGCGGUAGGGGUAGAGGGAAUUCCCGGUGUAGCGGUGAAAUGCGUAGAGAUCGGGAAGAACAUCCGUGGCGAAAGCGCUCUGCUGGACUGCAACUGACAUUGAGGGACGAAAGCUAGGGGAGCGAAUGGG